rnacentral:rRNA from 1 species
UGGGGGAUAUUGCACAAUGGGCGAAAGCCUGAUGCAGCGACGCCGCGUGGGGGAUGAAGGCUUUCGGGUUGUAAACCUCUUUCGCUAUCGAACAAGGCCCGCUUAGGGUGGUUUGAGGGUAGGUGGAGAAGAAGCGCCGGCUAACUACGUGCCAGCAGCCGCGGUAAUACGUAGGGCGCGAGCGUUGUCCGGAAUUAUUGGACGUAAAGGGCUUGUAGGCGGCUUGUUGCGCCUGCUGUGAAAACGCGGGGCUUAACUUCGCGCGUGCAGUGGGUACGGGCAGGCUUGAGUGUGGUAGGGGUGACUGGAAUUCCAGGUGUAGCGGUGGAAUGCGCAGAUAUCUGGAGGAACACCGAUGGCGAAGGCAGGUCACUGGGCCAUUACUGACGCUGAGGAGCGAAAGCAUGGGUAGCGAACAGG